GGUAUUGUAUGCAAGUGGUUAAAGCAGGCAGUCUGUAAAACUGUUCCUUAUAGGUUCGUAGGUUCAAAUCCUACCAAUACCA
rnacentral:tRNA from 1 species